rnacentral:rRNA from 1 species
AACGAACGCUGGCGGCAUGCCUAACACAUGCAAGUCGAACGAAACCUUCGGGUCUAGUGGCGCACGGGUGCGUAACGCGUGGGAACCUGCCCUUAGGUUCGGAAUAACUCCCCGAAAGGGGUGCUAAUACCGGAUAAUGUCUUCGGACCAAAGAUUUAUCGCCUUUGGAUGGGCCCGCGUUGGAUUAGCUAGUUGGUAGGGUAAAAGCCUACCAAGGCGACGAUCCAUAGCUGGUCUGAGAGGAUGAUCAGCCACACUGGGACUGAGACACGGCCCAGACUCCUACGGGAGGCAGCAGUGGGGAAUAUUGGACAAGGGGCGAAAGCCUGAUCCAGCAAUGCCGCGUGAGUGAUGAAGGCCUUAGGGUUGUAAAGCUCUUUUACCCGGGAUGAUAAUGACAGUACCGGGAGAAUAAGCUCCGGCUAACUCCGUG